CAGUCGCCACGGUAAUACGUAGGGUGCAAGCGUUAAUCGGAAUUACUGGGCGUAAAGCGUGCGCAGGCGGUUAUAUAAGUCAGAUGUGAAAUCCCCGGGCUCAACCUGGGAACUGCAUUUGAGACUGUAUGGCUAGAGUGUGUCAGAGGGGGGUAGAAUUCCACGUGUAGCAGUGAAAUGCGUAGAUAUGUGGAGGAAUACCGAUGGCGAAGGCAGCCCCCUGGGAUAACACUGACGCUCAUGCACGAAAGCGUGGGGAGCAAACAGGAUUAGAUACCCGCGUAGUCCCUGUCUCUUAUAC
rnacentral:rRNA from 1 species